rnacentral:rRNA from 1 species
UACGGAGGAUGCGAGCGUUAUCCGGAUUUAUUGGGUUUAAAGGGUGCGUAGGCGGUCCGUUAAGUCAGCGGUAAAAUUGCGGGGCUCAACCCCGUCGAGCCGUUGAAACUGGCAGACUUGAGUUGGCGAGAAGUACGCGGAAUGCGCGGUGUAGCGGUGAAAUGCAUAGAUAUCGCGCAGAACACCGAUUGCGAAGGCAGCUUACCAAGCUACUUCUGACGUUGAGGCACGAAAGCGUGGGUAUCGAACAGG